rnacentral:rRNA from 1 species
AAUACUAGAGUUUGAUCCUGGCUCAGAAUGAACGCUGGCGGCGUGCCUAACACAUGCAAGUCGAGCGCGAAAGGGCUUCGGCCUGAGUAGAGCGGCAAACGGGUGAAUAAUACACGGGAAUUUACCUUUCAGUGAAGAACACCUUCGAGAAAUCGAAGUUAAUACUGCAUACGUCCCUUCGGGGAGAAAGCUGGCCUCUUGCUGGCGCUGAAAGAGAAGCCUGUGUCCUAUUAGCUAGUUGGUAGGGUAAAGGCCUACCAAGGCGAUGAUGGGUAGCCGGCCCGAGAGGGUGUACGGCCACACUGGAACUGAGACACGGUCCAGACUCCUACGGGAGGCAGCAGUGAGGAAUCUUGCACAAUGGACGAAAGUCUGAUGCAGCGACGCCGCGUGAAGGAUGAAGGUCUUCGGAUUGUAAACUUCUGUUGAGGGGGAGAAAAUGCGCAACAAUAAUACGGUUGCGAGAUGAUAGUACCCCUAGAGAAAGCACCGGCUAACUACGUGCCAGCAGCCGCGGUAAUACGUAGGGUGCAAGCGUUAUUCGGAGUAAUUGGGCGUAAAGGGUGCGCAGGCGGCAUAUUAAGUCAAUUGUUAAAUCUUCCAGCCUAACUGGAAAUCUGCAAUAGAUACUGAUGUGCUAGAGAAUGGAAAGAGAGAAGUGAAUUCUCGGAGUAGCGGUAAAAUGCGUAGAUCUCGAAGAGGAACACCGAUGGCGAAGGCAGCUUCUUGGUUCAUUUUCUGACGCUUCUUGCACGAAAGCGUGGGGAGCAAAACAGGAUUAAGAUACCUGGUAGUCACGCUGUAACGAUGAUCACUAGACGUCAGUUCCCUUUGCGAAUUGGGUCGAGCUAACGCGAAUAAUGAUCGCUGGGGAGUACGUCCGCCAA